rnacentral:rRNA from 1 species
UACGUAGGUGGCAAGCGUUGUCCGGAAUUAUUGGGCGUAAAGCGCGCGCAGGCGGUCCUUUAAGUCCGAUGUGAAAGCCCACGGCUCAACCGUGGAGGGUCAUUGGAAACUGGGGGACUUGAGUGCAGAAGAGGAAAGCGGAAUUCCACGUGUAGCGGUGAAAUGCGUAGAGAUGUGGAGGAACACCAGUGGCGAAGGCGACUUUCUGGCCUAUAACUGACGCUGAGGCGCGAAAGCGUGGGGAGCAAACAGG